UACGUAGGGUGCAAGCGUUGCCCGGAUUUAUUGGGCGUAAAGGGCGCGUAGGCGGCUCUGCACGUUCGUUGUGAAAUCGCCCCGGCUCAACUGGGCGGGGUCAGCGGAUACGGCAGAGCUUGAGCAAGCUAGGGGGCAAUGGAAUUCCCGGUGUAGUGGUGGAAUGCGUAGAUAUCGGGAGGAACACCGAUGGCGAAGGCAGCCCCCUGGGUCAAGAUUGACGCUCAUGCACGAAAGCGUGGGGAGCAAACAGG
rnacentral:rRNA from 1 species